AUGUCUGCGGCGAUCCGCUCGGUCUCACGCCGGCUGGCCACAGCCGGAGCCGUCCACGGUGCGCAGGGUGGUACCCUUGCUGUCGCCGCCCCAGUUCGUCGCCCGGUGAUAACCCUCCCUGCCCGUGGCUAUUCUGCUUCGUCUGCAGGGAUUACUUCAAUUGCUAAGGAGACUGGCCAGAGGCUGUACAAAGCUGUUCUUCGGUCCACCCCGUUCAUGGCAUCAGUCACCACCUAUGCAACUGUGGUUUCGGCAGUUGGAUACUGGGUCAUUGAGACUGUUGAGGGUGGAGUGAAUAAGAAGCUUGUUGAGCAGAAUAACACUCUCGCCGUGAAGCUUGAAGCGGAGAAGGUGAAGCGUGAGGGCUUUCAGAGCAUAGCUACCCAUGCCCAUCAGGAGAGUGCCCGCAGGAUUGAUGAAUCAAUGUUUGAUGUACGUCUUCAGCUCAACAAACUGUUCCUCCGCUGGUUGGAGGGACAUGAGGUCAACUUGAAAAGAAUGAAGGACAUGGAGCAAAGGAUUGAUGCAUUGACAAGGGAGGUUGAUGCAUUGAAGAAAUCUCCUUCUGCAAAGUGCAACUAUGUGGAGGACGGCAUGGACAUCUACUCCGGCAACAGCUACUCCGUCCUGCUCACCACCGACCAGGACCCAUCGUCCAACUACUGGGUCAGCAUCAAAGCUCGCGCCGGCUCUGGCCCUGCUCUCAACUACCAGCCCAACCGCGGGUUCAAGCUCCUGGCCAUCGCACCACCGCUGACCCCAGCGUGGAACGACACCGCGCACAACAAGGCGUUCAUGAGUCAUGACCCAGAUCAAAGCUCGGGUCGGCACGCCCCAAAUCGCCGGUGA
rnacentral:rRNA from 1 species